rnacentral:rRNA from 1 species
GACGAACGCUGGCGGCGUGCCUAAUACAUGCAAGUAGAACGCUGAAGGAGGAGCUUGCUUCUCCGGAUGAGUUGCGAACGGGUGAGUAACGCGUAGGUAACCUGCCUGGUAGCGGGGGAUAACUAUUGGAAACGAUAGCUAAUACCGCAUAACAGUAGAUGUUGCAUGACAUUUGCUUAAAAGGUGCAAUUGCAUCACUACCAGAUGGACCUGCGUUGUAUUAGCUAGUUGGUGAGGUAACGGCUCACCAAGGCGACGAUACAUAGCCGACCUGAGAGGGUGAUCGGCCACACUGGGACUGAGACACGGCCCAGACUCCUACGGGAGGCAGCAGUAGGGAAUCUUCGGCAAUGGACGGAAGUCUGACCGAGCAACGCCGCGUGAGUGAAGAAGGUUUUCGGAUCGUAAAGCUCUGUUGUAAGAGAAGAACGAGUGUGAGAGUGGAAAGUUCACAAUGUGACGGUAUCUUACCAGAAAGGGACGGCUAACUACGUG